rnacentral:rRNA from 1 species
UACGGGGGGAGCAAGCGUUGUUCGGAUUUACUGGCGUAAAGGGCGCGAGUAGGCGGCCAGCACAAGUCAGUUGUGAAAUCUCCGAGCUUAACUCGGAACGGUCAACUGAUACUGUGCGGCUAGAGUGCGGAAGGGGCAACUGGAAUUCUUGGUGUAGCGGUGAAAUGCGUAGAUAUCAAGAGGAACACCUGCGGCGAAGGCGGGUUGCUGGGCCGACACUGACGCUGAUGCGCGAAAGCCAGGGGAGCGAACGGG